UUAAUAUUUAUUUAUUAAUUUUAUUAAAUUUUUAUUUAUUAUAUUAAAAAUAAUUAUGAUAUUUAUUUUUUUGAGUAAUUUUUUAUGAAAUUAUAAUUUUUAUUAUAGUAUAUUAGUAUUGUGAAAUAAAAUUGAAAUAAUAUGAAAAAUUUUUAUAAAUUAAGUAAAUUUAAUUUAUUGUACCUUGUGUAUCAGGGUUUAUUAAUUAAAAAAUAUAAAUAUAUUUUUCUCGAAUUUAAAAGAGUUAAUAAAUUAUUAAAGUUAAUGUAAUAAAAUUAUUUUAAAUAAUUUAUUGGAAAUGAAAAGUUAUUCGUUUUUAAAUAUAUCUAGUUUUUUUAGAAAUAAAUUUAAUUUAGAAUUUUUAAAUAUAUUAAUUUAUUUUUUAAAAUUAAUAUUUUUAAAAUUUAAUAUUUUAUGGGAUAAGCUAUAGAAUAAAUUUUUAUAAGAUUAAUUUAUUUUAUAUAAAUAUAUGUUUAGAAUUAGCAAUUAUUAAUAAUUUUGUUAUAAAUUAUUUAUUUAAAUAAAUGAUUUAAGAAUCUUUAAUUUUUUAUAAAAAUAAAAAUUUAAAUUUAUUAAAUUUUGAAAUAAUGAUAAAAUUAGUAUAUUAUUUUAUAAUUAUAUAUUUAUUUGAAAAGUUUAUGUAAAGAAUUUGGCAAAAUAAUGUUCGCCUGUUUAACAAAAACAUGUCUUUUUGGUUUGUAUAAAAAGUCUAACCUGCCCAUUGAUAAUUAUUUAACGGCCGCAGUAUAUUAACUGUGCAAAGGUAGCAUAAUCAUUAGUCUUUUAAUUGAAGGCUGGAAUGAAUGGUUGGACGAAAUAUUAACUGUUUCAUAUAAAUUUAUAAUAGAAUUUAAUUUUUUAGUUAAAAAGCUAAAAUAUUUUUAAAAGACGAGAAGACCCUAUAAAUCUUUAUAAAUAUAAUUUUAUUAAUUUUUUAAAUAAUUUUUAUUAUCAAUAUUAUAUUUAUUUUAUUGGGGUGAUAGUAAAAUUUAAAAAACUUUUAUUUUUAUUAAUACAUUAAUUUUUGAAUAUUUGAUCCAAUAUUAUUGAUUAAAAAAUUAAGUUACUUUAGGGAUAACAGCGUAAUAUUUUUGGAGAGUUCUUAUUGAUAAAAAUGAUUGCGACCUCGAUGUUGGAUUAAGAUAUAAUUUUAGGUGUAGUAGCUUAAAUUUUAAGUCUGUUCGACUUUUAAAUUCUUACAUGAUCUGAGUUCAAACCGGUGUAAGCCAGGUUGGUUUCUAUCUUUAAUAAAUUAAAAUAUUUUAGUACGAAAGGACCAAAUAUUUAAAUUUUAAAAUUUUAUAAUAUGAAUUUUAUUAAUAUAUAUAAUAUAU
rnacentral:rRNA from 1 species